CGUGAGCGGCGGACGGGUGAGUAACGCGUGGGUAACCUGCCUCAUACAGGGGGAUAACAGUUGGAAACGGCUGCUAAUACCGCAUAAGCGCACAGUACCGCAUGGUACGGUGUGAAAAACUCCGGUGGUAUGAGAUGGACCCGCGUCUGAUUAGGUAGUUGGUGGGGUAACGGCCCACCAAGCCGACGAUCAGUAGCCGACCUGAGAGGGUGACCGGCCACAUUGGGACUGAGACACGGCCCAA
rnacentral:rRNA from 1 species